AUCCGAUUACAGGAUCUCGUUACGAUCGAUUCUGAGCAUCAAGACGCACGAACGGAGAACCAAACUCGCGGUUGUCAUUCAGCGCGAACAGUAUCGCUGCUUUUAACCUCGGAGAAAAAGGCGAAGGGAAGUCGGAAGCAUCCGAUCCACCAAUUAUCGUUUUGCAACUAAGAAACGAACACAUCGAUGGAGUAUGCCUCACAAUUCACGAUAAGAGGAAAUAAACAGAUUUUGUUAUAAAAAUCAAAUUGACGCAUCGACAAGGAUGUAUUGGAAAUUAAAUUUUUAGCAGAAGGCGCAGCAAGAAUUUUUCGAAUUCCUAAUGGCCAAUCUGGGUAUCGAUAUUGUAAUGGCUACCCCGUGCAUACGAUUCGCCUUUGCACAAUGAAAAUAAUUAAAGAAAUAAAGUAACGUAAUAUCAGAACGAUGGUAUUUGCAAAUUAGAUGGCGUCUCUGGUUUUCAUCAUUCAUUACCUGUUCGAUUAGAUAGGGGUCUGUUCUUAGAUUGCACAGUUACAUCUACCUGAUCAGCCAAACCAGCUUGGUCGCACUGUUUUUCACCGGGAUGGUCGUUUGUUAUUUAGCGAACAGCAUGGCAUUAACACGAGAUCGUAAUGACAUAUCUGUUCUAGUUUAAGUUAAGCGAACGGACCAACAGGAACAAGAGCGAGACGGGACAGUAAUUUCAGGCCAUUAACCGCGUCCUUGCAGGACCGUUUAAUCUGAAUGAAAUCCUCGUUUCUAUAAUUAUACCAAGUGACAGAGGGAACGGGAAAUUGAUGAAGAUCCGGCUUGCGACGAUUUCGAGUUGCCGAUAAUUAUAUAAUCUGUUUGUUUACUCAUCAGACGUACACGUUUGGUUGCUGUAUAUGAAAUAGUUGAUUUUUAAGUAUUACAAGUCCGACAUGAUACGAUAUAAAA